GAUGAAGAACGUAGUGAAAUGCGAUAAGUAAUGCGAAUUGCAGAAUUCAGUGAAUCAUCGAAUCUUUGAACGCACAUUGCGCCCGCUAGUAUUCUGGCGGGCAUGCCUGUCUGAGCGUCAUUUCAACCCUCGCCCCCGGCUUUUGCUGGGAGCGGUGUUGGGGAUCGGCCGCCCGCCACUGGGAGGCCGGCCCCGAAAUAGAGUGGCGACCACGCCGUGUGCUCCUCUGCGUAGUAGUAAAUCACCUCGCAGGCGGACAGCGGUGCGGCCUGCCGUAAAACCCCCAACUCUUUCUGGUUGACCUCAGAUCAGGUAGGAAUACCCGCUGAACUUAAGCAUAUCAAUAAGCGGAGGA
rnacentral:misc_RNA from 1 species